UAGGGAAUCUUCCACAAUGGACGCAAGUCUGAUGGAGCAACGCCGCGUGAGUGAAGAAGGUUUUCGGUUCGUAAAGCUCUGUUGUUGGUGAGGAAGGAUAGAGGCAGUAACUGGUCUUUAUUUGACGGUAAUCAACCAGAAAGUCACGUCUAACUACGUGCCAGCAGCCGCGGUAAUACGUAGGUGGCAAGCGUUGUCCGGAUUUAUUGGGCGUAAAGCGAGCGCAGGCGGAAUGAUAAGUCUGAUGUGAAAGCCCACGGCUCAACCGUGGAACUGCAUCGGAAACUGUCAUUCUUGGGUGCAGAAGAGGAGAGUGGAAUUCCAUGUGUAGCGGUGGAAUGCGUAGAUAUAUGGAAGAACACCAGUGGCGAAGGCGGCUCUCUGGUCUGCAACUGACGCUGAGGCUCGAAAGCAUGGGUAGCGAACAGG
rnacentral:rRNA from 1 species